CCUACGGGGGGCAGCAGGGAUGAAAAAAGACGGGAAUUGACGAAGAAGCCCCGGCUAACUACGUGACAGCAGCCGCGGUAAUACGUAGGGGGCAAGCGUUAUCCGGAUUUACUGGGUGUAAAGGGAGCGUAGACGGCAAGGCAAGCCAGAAGUGAAAGGGCAGGGCUCAACCCUGUACAUGCUUUUGGAACUGUGGUGCUAGAGUGCAGGAGAGGUAAGUGGAAUUCCUAGUGUAGCGGUGAAAUGCGUAGAUAUUAGGAGGAACACCAGUGGCGAAGGCGGCUUACUGGACUGUAACUGACGUUGAGGCUCGAAAGCGUGGGGAGCAAACAGGAUUAGAUACCCGGGUAGUC
rnacentral:rRNA from 1 species